rnacentral:rRNA from 1 species
GACGUAGGGGACGAGCGUUGUCCGGAUUCAUUGGGCGUAAAGAGCGUGUAGGCGGCCUGACAAGUCUGCUGUGAAAACUCGAGGCUCAACCUCGAGAUGUCGGCGGAAACUGUCUGGCUAGAGUCCGGAAGAGGAGAGUGGAAUUCCUGGUGUAGCGGUGAAAUGCGCAGAUAUCAGGAAGAACACCUAUGGCGAAGGCAGCUCUCUGGGACGGUACUGACGCUGAGACGCGAAAGCGUGGGGAGCGAACAGG